UACGUAGGGGGCAAGCGUUGUCCGGAUUUAUUGGGCGUAAAGAGCGUGUAGGCGGCUUGGUAGGUCCGCUGUGAAAACUCGAGGCUCAACCUCGAGAUGUCGGCGGAAACCACUUGGCUAGAGUCCGGAAGAGGAGAGUGGAAUUCCCGGUAUAGCGGUGAAAUGCGCAGAUAUCGGGAAGAACACCUAUGGCGAAGGCAGCUCUCUGGGACGGUACUGACGCUGAGACGCGAAAGCGUGGGGGAGCGAACAGG
rnacentral:rRNA from 1 species